CUUGCAAUUCAAUUGCUUCAUAGUCGCCGACAAGGUGCCAAGGUAUUCGUUUAAUAGAAUAUUUGUCUUGUUUUCCAUGACAUCCAAGGAAGGACUUGUAUUGAGAAAAAAUAAUAAAUCGAGUGUUGGCGUUGCGUAAACGCACAUUUGGAAAUCUAC